rnacentral:rRNA from 1 species
UUAAAAGACCUAGCAAUAGGUAUGCUUAGGGAGGAGCUUGCGUCACAUUAGUUAGUUGGUGGGGUAAAGGCCUACCAAGACUAUGAUGUGUAGCCGGGCUGAGAGGUUGAACGGCCACAUUGGGACUGAGACACGGCCCAAACUCCUACGGGAGGCAGCAGUAGGGAAUUUUCGGCAAUGGAGGAAACUCUGACCGAGCAACGCCGCGUGAACGAUGAAGUAUUUCGGUACGUAAAGUUCUUUUAUUAGGGAAGAAUAAAUGAUGGAAAAAUCAUUCUGACGGUACCUAAUGAAUAAGCCCCGGCUAACUAUGUGCCAGCAGCCGCGGUAAUACAUAGGGGGCAAGCGUUAUCCGGAAUUAUUGGGCGUAAAGGGUGCGUAGGCGGUUAAAUAAGUUUAUGGUCUAAGUGCAAUGCUCAACAUUGUGAUGCUAUAAAAACUGUUUAGCUAGAGUAAGAUAGAGGCAAGUGGAAUUCCAUGUGUAGUGGUAAAAUGCGUAAAUAUAUGGAGGAACACCAGUAGCGAAGGCGGCUUGCUGGGUCUUUACUGACGCUGAGGCACGAAAGCGUGGGGAGCAAACAGGAUUAGAUACCCUGGUAGUCCACGCCGUAAACGAUGAGUACUAAACGUUGGGUAAAACCAGUGUUGAAGUUAACACAUUAAGUACUCCGCCUGAGUAGUACGUACGCAAGUAUGAAACUUAAAGGAAUUGACGGGACUCCGCACAAGCGGUGGAUCAUGUUGUUUAAUUCGAAGGUACCCGAAAAACCUCACCAGGUCUUGACAUGCUUCUGCAAAGCUGUAGAAACACAGUGGAGGUUAUCAGUUGCACAGGUGGUGCAUGGUUGUCGUCAGCUCGUGUCGUGAGAUGUUGGGUUAAGUCCCGCAACGAGCGCAACCCUUAUUGUUAGUUACCAGCACGUAAUGGUGGGGACUUUAGCAAGACUGCCAGUGAUAAAUUGGAGGAAGGUGGGGACGACGUCAAAUCAUCAUGCCCCUUAUGACCUGGGCUACAAACGUGAUACAAUGGCUGUUACAAAGGGUAGCUGAAGCGCAAGUUUUUGGCGAAUCUCAAAAAAACAGUCUCAGUUCGGAUUG